CCUAUAAAUAAUAGACCUUUAAAAUGUGUUUUAAAUUUAUAAAACUAUUUAUUUAUUAAUUAACCCUUCGUGGGAGUGAUACAGAAAUACAGUACAAUUAAAAUAAUUCAUUAAAAUGGACGACAACUGGCGGCUUUAUUGUACCUUCUAAGCGUCUUCUAAGUCCCUUCUAUGAGAAAAAUAAUUACAAAGUAACGAAGUGUCCCGAGCGGCGACCCACCAUGACAUCGGCGAGGCCGCCGCCACUGAGCGCCACCCAUCCGCCAGUGCCCUCGUCGCGACACAUUACUUGCGCACGAACACGCACCACACACACACUGAAACGUAUAGUACCAUCAUCAACAAUCUUUUAUCAUUAAUAUUCUGACAUUAUCAAAUGUUUUCAUGCAGGACUAAACGUUAAAAUUUGGAUUUCUUUGAAAUCAUACCGAUAUUUCUCGUGCACAAGAUCUGAUUUGACUUAAACAUGUAUGCGGUAAUGUCUAUACUUUUAACUUUACUCCCGAAUAGGACCAAAUUAUAAAAAUUAGGCCGCGAAUUCUCAGCACACAGAAUGAGAGAAAAACCAAAUCUGUAUUUAACGUAUAUUCGACGUAAUAUGGAAACGGUGACGUCCCGUCCUAUUAUAAGAAGUGUUACUUUUCAUAUUAAUUUGUCUUUCUAUAGGUAAAAUUGAGAUGCGAAAGCUCAAGCGCAUCAGGAAUUGUUAGGCAAUAUAAUACUGCAACGUACUUGGUUAACAAAGCUAUUAAAAUAUAGUCAACAAAAUAACUAGGAGCACUUGCCAUCAUGCAGGUGUCCAUGGACAGCAGUUAUCACAUAAUUCUAAUAACCUACUUGUUUGUCUCAUAAAAGUAAUAAAACUCAAAUGUCAAUUCAUACUAAUAUAACAAACUUAAACCACUGUAUAUUCUUUAGUAAUAUCCUUUUAAGAUUUUUUUUCUUAUAAAGCAAUUUGAAACUUUAUACCUCUCAUAAUUAUAUAGUAAAUGUUUUUAACUAAG